CGUUAUUUGCACGUGAAGUCUUUUUUGUCAACUUUCGUUUUUUGUGUUUUAACGCUACCGUGUCAAUUUGCAUCUGAUCAUCUGAAGAAUCAUUUUCAAACCUACGUACAGGAUGGGUGGUAAACAAUCAACAUCGUUAGGAUGUCAUCUGAUGACUUCACGUGUUUGUGGUGCUGAUGAUUUGAAUAAAGUACAUCCGAGCAGUACUAAUCGCAAAGACGAAGAAGAUACAAACACGGAGCUUUCAAGUGAUGGCGAAGUAGAAAUAUUAAGCAGAUCGAUACAACUUCAAGAAGAAAAAGAAAACAAGAAUAAAAGACCCUCACGGAAAAAUCUGAUGACUUCACAUGUUCGUGGCGCUGAUGAUUCGAAAAGCAUACAUACGAGCUGUAUUAAUGUCGUAGACGGCGACAAAGAUCGAGACGUGGGCCGUUCAAGUUAUUUCGAGACGUGGCAUCUUGACAAAGAAAAAGGAAAACAGAAAAGAAGGGAGAAGUGUUCACCACGAUGUGUCAGCUUCAAAAGAAACAAGUUAGAAAGAAAAAAAGGAGUUAUCUGAAACUUGCAGCUGAAAAUAAAAGAGGAAAGAUGUGUGAAUUUGAGCAAGACUCGCAGUAGAAUCGAAAGUGCGAAUUGCACUAAAAGCAGUUUUACCAUACAUUGCAAUUCUCGACAAGGCCCAAUUCGAUGAAUAUUCCUUUCUGGCUACAGACCUAUGCUGGUUGAUGUGCAUCAUAGACCCACCGCUGGUCUAAGUAACAGAAUGCCGCCCUGGUGACAAAUUUGACAAAACACUGUUCCAUGAAUGCCUCAGACAUGGAAAAUAUUAUGUUUUGUGUGUUUGGCCAGCCGUUCUAUUGCAUAAAGGCGGCGUUGUUUUGAAAAAAGGGGUUGCACAAACGAAAGUUUAGAAAAAAAAAUUUGUUAGAAAAAAUGAACCAAUGCUUCAUUACUUAAUAACAUAUCUGACUGUUCGAUAUUUGGUAAAAGCUUACGCUGUUAAAAAAAUCAAAGAUGGUAUUGCAGACAAAUCUUAUUUAACAAAAAUUACUGUUUUGUCUAACAAUACGUGUUUCUAUGCAUUUAUAUGUAUGUGCCAUAACCUGAAUUUUUGGUGUUGCUUGUAUUGUGCGUGAUAUUGAAACAAACAUUAACAAUUUCUUAACGCCAUGCUUUGAACACUUGUAAAAACCGAUGUAACUUAUUUUAUGUUCAGAUACUUACGUUUAUAUAGAAGCAUAGUAACUAUAAUGGACAGAAGCAAAUACUAAAAAUAUA